AUUCUCUGAGCCCAAAGGAAAUCUUAUCUUCGCUGUAAGAUGGACCCGCGGCGCAUCUAGCUUGUCUGGUGAGGUAACGGCUCACCAAGGCUCUCGAUGCGUAGCCGACCUGAGAGGGUGAUCGGCCACUCUGGAACUGAGACACGGUCCAGACUCCUACGGGAGGCAGCAGUGGGGAAUAUUGCACAUGGAGGAAACUCUGAUGCAGCAACGCCGCGUGAGUGAUGAAGGUCUUCGGAUCGUAAAACUCUGUCUUAUGGGACGAUAAUGACGGUACCAUAGGAGGAAGCCACGGCUAACUACGUGCCAGCAGCCGCGGUAAUACGUAGGUGGCAAGCGUUGUCCGGAUUUACUGGGCGUAAAGGAUGUGUAGGCGGAUAUUUAAGUGAGAUGUGAAAUCCCCGGGCUUAACCUGGGGGCUGCAUUUCAAACUGGAUGUCUAGAGUGCAGGAGAGGAAAGCAGACUUCCUAGUGUAGCGGUGAAAUGC
rnacentral:rRNA from 1 species